UACAGAGGUCCCAAGCGUUGUUCGGAUUCACUGGGCGUAAAGGGUGCGUAGGUGGGCAGGUAAGUCAGUGGUGAAAUCUCCGGGCUUAACCCGGAAACUGCCAUUGAUACUAUCUGUCUUGAAUACCGUGGAGGUGAGCGGAAUAUGUCAUGUAGCGGUGAAAUGCUUAGAUAUGACAUAGAACACCAAUUGCGAAGGCAGCUCACUACGCGAAUAUUGACACUGAGGCACGAAAGCGUGGGGAGCGAACAGG
rnacentral:rRNA from 1 species